rnacentral:lncRNA from 1 species
CUUCAGGAGUGAAGCUGCAGACCUUCGCGUGAUGGAGGUUGAGAAGUCCAACUUCAAGGCACCACAUCUGGUGAGAGCCUUCAUUCCGAUGACAGCCUUCAUGCUGGUAAGAUUUUCUUCAGAGUUCCAAGGUGGUGCACGGCAUCACAUGGCGAAGGAAAUGAGCGUGCUAGCUCAGGUGUCUCUUCCUCUUCUUAUAAAGCCACCAGUCCCACUCCUGUGCUAGUAACUCUUUAAUCCAUCAACCCAUUAAUCCAUGAAUAGAUUAACCCAUGAGGCCUCUGCCCUCAGGACCCAAUCACCUCUUAAAGGCCUGACCUGUCAAUAUUGCCAUACUGGGGACUCAGUUUCAACAUGAGUUUUGAAAGGGACAAACAUUCAAUCCAUAGUAACAUGAGAGCUUUUCAAAGCCCUUCUUUGUUGAAGUAUGUCCUUCUCCAGCCUCUUUUUUCCCAGGCUUUUUGUUUUUUCUAUUGCUUGUGCAGCUGUUAUCCUUUGCUACAGGUGGCAAUAGCUAAUACAUUUGCCUUUAAAUUUGUUUGACAAACACCACCCUGGAAGUAGCCUCAACUCUGGGGAAGCUCCAAGACAGGUAAAAUACAGGUAAGCCCUUGAGCAGAUCCUUCAGGAAGCUACCAUAUGGGUCAAAACACAGAACCACAAUUCUUUAAUUCUUUGAGAAUAAGGUCUGUAUUGUUCCCUCUGUUACCAGCAACCUGCAGCAGGAAAAUGGGCUUCAGUUUUCAAGUCUGCAGCUGAGUUGGGAAGUUGCGGACAGUAACCAGGAUCGCUGUCCUUAUAAGAAGUGGAAGAAACAUCAGAGAGCUCUCCCUCUCCACACACACAGAGGAAAGGCCACAUGGGGACAAGAGAGGGCAACUGUCUACAAAUCUGGAAGAGAGACUUCAGAAGAAACCAGCACUGAUGGCAUCUGAUCUUGGACUUCCAGCCUCUGGAUCUUAAUACACAAUAUUGGCAACAAUGCAACAAAAUGGACACACUCUACUCUCCAGCGGGAGUUUCAGAAAUAUGCCAUAAUGGAACAAGAUAACUAAAAGAAGAAAACUACCUCAAGGUUAAAAAAACGAAAAGAAGAGAAAGAAAAAAGGAAAGAAGCAGAAGGAAGAACUCUGCUGCAGUACUGGAAGCAGGCAGAUUAUUUAAAUUACGGUGGUGCCAUGGAACAAGAGAAGGCAGAUGAAGAGCGACACCCUUCAAGUUAACACAGGAACAAUUAACAAUAGAAUCCUUAAGAUGCAAAACUCCUUGCUGUUUACCAGCAACAGAAGAGAGGAAGAAGUGGCUCUGGGGGAAUUGCGUGCCAGUCUGCGGCAGGUUGGCUGGAGAAGCAGCCCUGGUUGGAGCUUUGGAGAGACACAUGUGCAUUUACUUGUUACCUGGAAGACCUUUUAAAAAAAAUUCUCGUAAAUCUGUCAUUUGUGUAUCCUCAAGGUUUGUGGCAGAAAGCAGAUAUAUCUGCUCCUGUGUGUAAUUGUUGUUAAAAAACACAAAAAGGAAAUAAAAGUGCACAACAUACCUAGCAGACUUGACCAGAGGGAAUUGGGAAAGGCCAAAGUAAAUUAUUCUAAAAAAUAAGCAAGCAAACCAGAAAAGGUUAAGAUGGAGAGGAGCUUAGAGGAGCAAGUGCUCUUCCCAUGCUGGGAAAAAGGCAGCGACAGAACCGCCUAGUGGGCAGGUGAGGGCACUGAUCACGUGAUAGACUGGGGCCCACUGCAUCUCUUUUCUCUUUGGGUCUUGAGGAUGGAGAGGCAGGAACAUGAAAACAGUGAGAAAUUUUGAGGUUCACUUCCCUUCUUCCACCUCUCACUUCCCCCAUAACCUCUUCCUUUUGAUAGUGCUGGAAGAACAACCCAAGGCCAGCCCUCUUGAAGCAGGCAAAUAGAUGCUUGUCCUUUACUUCAUGUAUAAAGAGAUUGUUUUCUUUCUUUACUAAGACAGUCAGAGCCAAUGAAAGUGGAAGAUAAGUACCUCGAGAGAGCCCUAAGGAGGGAGCAUGGGGGUUCAAGUGUAUGGUCUACUUAGGCAGAGAGGAAUCAGAGUUAAACUAGGCUCAAAAUACAUUUUUAUUUUGAGACAGCCUUGCUCUGUUGCUCAGGCUGGAGUGCAAUGGUGUG